UGAUGGCUCAGUGGUAGAACAUCUGCUUUGCAUGUAGAAGAUUCCAGGUUCAACCCCUCACAUCUCAA
rnacentral:tRNA from 1 species